AUUGAACGCUGGCGGCAGGCCUAACACAUGCAAGUCGGACGGUAGCACAGAGAGCUUGCUCUUGGGUGACGAGUGGCGGACGGGUGAGUAAUGUCUGGGGAUCUGCCCGAUAGAGGGGGAUAACCACUGGAAACGGUGGCUAAUACCGCAUAACGUCGCAAGACCAAAGAGGGGGACCUUCGGGCCUCUCACUAUCGGAUGAACCCAGAUGGGAUUAGCUAGUAGGCGGGGUAAUGGCCCACCUAGGCGACGAUCCCUAGCUGGUCUGAGAGGAUGACCAGCCACACUGGAACUGAGACACGGUCCAGACUCCUACGGGAGGCAGCAGUGGGGAAUAUUGCGCAAUGGGCGCAAGCCUGAUGCAGCCAUGCCGCGUGUAUGAAGAAGGCCUUCGGGUUGUAAAGUACUUUCAGCGGGGAGGAAGGCGGCAAGGUUAAUAACCUUGCCGAUUGACGUUACCCGCAGAAGAAGCACCGGCUAACUCCGUGCCAGCCGCCGCAGUAA
rnacentral:rRNA from 1 species